UACAGAGGGUGCAAGCGUUAAUCGGAAUUACUGGGCGUAAAGCGUGCGUAGACGGUUAUGUAAGUCGGGUGUGAAAGCCCCGGGCUCAACCUGGGUAUGCCAUUCGAGACUGCAUAGCUAGGGUGCGGAAGAGGGAAGCGGAAUUUCCGGUGUAGCGGUGAAAUGCGUUGAUAUCGGAAGGAACACCAGUGGCGAAAGCGGCUUCCUGGUCCAGCACCGACGUUCAUGCACGAAAGCGUGGGGAGCAAACAGG
rnacentral:rRNA from 1 species